CUGCUAUUCAGCAAUAAAUACAAAAAACAUGUUUUUGAUACAUAUAUCAAUGUGGCUGAAUGUUGAAAUAAGUAUGUUGAAUAAAAAAGCCAGAUAAAAUGAUCACAUACUGUAUAAUUAGCUUUAUCACAAUUCUAGAAAAUACAUAAUAUUGACAAAGUAAUCGGUGGUUCCCUGCAUAUGUAAUUGGAGGAAGGGAUGUUUUAUAAUAGUGAUAGUGGCAGGAGGCAGACAAAUUCCUAGGCAGAUCAGGGUGGGUCCCUGGUGAAAUCCAACUUUCAAGCCAAAGCCUGAAAAGCCUGAAAACCGGGCUGCCAGUUCCAGGUAGAAUCCACAACCGGAAGUGAGAACUUCCUGAUGCCUUUCAGCCAAUCAAAUGGUUCUUCUUUCAGAGCCCACCCAUGGACCAAUCAGCAUGCACGUCCUUCAUUCUGAGCAUAUAAAAACCCCUGGACUCGGCCACAGCUGUCGACUACCAGGCUGCGUUAGGAGCUACCGUCUUCAGCUUUUUCUCGCUGCUGAGAGCUGUUUUGUUACUCAGUAAAACUCUUCUCCACCGUGCUCACCCUUCAGUUGACCGUGCAACUUCAUUCUUCCUGGACAUAAACCCGGGACCCACAGAACAGCGGGUGCAAAAAGGGCUGUAACGCUUUCCUGGCCGGAUCGCCAAGCUGCAGGUAAGAUGUGCCUGCUUCACCUACUGGCGUGAAUGUAAACUUUCUGAGACCUUCCCAGCCAUGUGGAACUGUAGUUGGGAGCCAGGGAAGGAGUGACACUAUCCCUAGAUGUAGUGAUAUGUUUUACAGGUCCACAGCUGGAAGGAGCUUUCCUUGAUUCUCAAAUGAGACUUUGGACUUUGGACUUUUGAGUCGGUGCUGAAACAAGCCACGCUCUUCAUGCCUGUGUGUUUCCCGCACCCCUGGGAAGGCGAAGGGAAGGAGCUACAUUGUCAAGUGUGGUCCAGCAAGUAAGCAGGUCCUGAGCACCAAACAUAUCACAGGCACUCACUGCUUGGGCCCACCAGUCAACAGGAGCCUGCUAGAUACAGCCAUGUGCCACUCCAACCUCCCUGAGGGCAUGGCCUAUGCACUAUUUGGAGCUGACUCUCUACGAAAGCCCAAGGCUCCGUAGCACGUCAGGAGCUUCCUCCCCUACCCUCCUAAUGAAACAUGGUUUUCAGCUAAGAAGACAUUUGCUCUCCACAAUGGGACAUGGAUGAAGCUGGAGGCCAUAUCUUUAGCAAGCUA
rnacentral:lncRNA from 10 species